CUAGAGUGGGUCAAACGCGACCAGAGACGAGGAGAUUAUGAUAAACUUCUACGCCAAAAAGAAUGUAGAUGGAUAUAUAAACUAAAAACCCUUAACCCCAAUGGUUUGAAUGAAGGGUUUUCAUUUUCUCCCUACAUUUAAGCCUUGCCAUUUAGUGUUUAAUCACCAAAUAUACUCUAGUUGGAGUAAUCACUAUCAACUACACACCCUGUAAAUAUGUCUGUAUAUAUCUGUAUAAUAUAAUAGAAAUCCUUUUUGUCUAUACUAUAUUUUUCUGUGAUCUACGUUUAUAAUAAUUUUUUGGUAUCUAUACCUUAUACCUGGCACGCAUUUAGUCCAUUGGGACCCUGAUCAUUUCAGCUAUUUUGCCAUUAUGGGAAUAAUAUCUAUUUAAUGUCUAAUUCACCUUUAUGGUGGAACAGUGUUUGAUAAAUGCAUUUAGUAGACUCUUAUCUAAUUGGGUCUUAUGCUUAAUGAGUGCUGUUAACACCAUGAUAUGACUUAGGAGUUUAUAUCACCAUUAUAGUGACUGAUAGAUCGAAAUAAGCAAUGAGUUAUGACUGCAUUUUGAGCCUUAUAAUUGACUCUGUGUUACAUGUUUCUCUUUCCUUUUACAACAUAGAUGCCUUGCUGAAUGAAGGCUAACUGUAUCUAUCAGAACGCACUUAAUUAACUCCUACUGUAUAGCUAAUAAUGUAGAAAAUAGACCCUUAAGAGGUGUCUCUGUACUGCAUGUGUAUGCAGUCAGCCUGUUACUAUGGCGAUAUUUGACGCUCCUUGUGAGCACACGUGAUCUGUAGAUGGACAGACUUGUUGAAAGAGGAGGACGCGAUCGGGUCAUAGCCACGCCCCCAACUAAGCCGAUUGGACACACAACCAUAUGGGCGGCACGCUUCCCGAUAUAAAUUUACCCUCCUUCCUUCAGCCGUGCUAGGUGCUCUUGAUAAAGGCGUGUGAUCACGCCGAAACGCGCGUCGAGCGUUUGCCGGUCUUUUGUUUUUACUAGUGGGGGAUGUGAAUAGUGAUUUAGUCACUACAACUGGGGGACAUUUAGAUUAUCUAUUUUGACUAUUUAGCUGGCAUUAUUCUUUUUAAGCCAUAAUUAGGGUCAUUACUAGGACUCUCUAUAUACCUAGUUAGAAUAUACAGCUAGUGAUCUUUAGUGUUAGGCUGCCUUGAAGCAGCAGUGUGCAGCAUUCAUAGGAGUCUUCAAGCAGCAGUGUGUAGUAUAGACAUGAGCUGGAUCUAGCAAGUGCAGGUAGUCUCGAUAUAUUGAAGUGCUCUAUAUUUUGAAGUGCUCUUUUGUGC